AGAACGAACGCUGGCGGCAGGCUUAACACAUGCAAGUCGAACGCUCGUAGCAAUACGGGAGUGGCAGACGGGUGAGUAACGCGUGGGAACAUACCCUCCGGUUCGGAAUAGCUCAGGGAAACUUGGAUUAAAUACCGGAUACGGCUGAGAGGCGAAAGAUUUAUCGCCGGAGGAUUGGCCCGCGUUCGAUUAGCUUGUUGGUGAGGUAACGGCUCACCAAGGCGAUGAUCGAUAGCUGGUCUGAGAGGAUGAUCAGCCACAUUGGGACUGAGACACGGCCCAAACUCCUACGGGAGGCAGCAGUGGGGAAUAUUGGACAAUGGGCGCAAGCCUGAUCCAGCCAUGCCGCGUGAGUGAUGACGGCCUUAGGGUUGUAAAGCUCUUUCGCUCGGGACGAUAAUGACGGUACCGAGAUAAGAGCCCGGCUAACUCGUGCCAGCAGCCGC
rnacentral:rRNA from 1 species